rnacentral:rRNA from 1 species
CGGUUGAUCCUGCCGGACCCCACCGCUAUCGGGGUGAGACUAAGCCAUGCGAGUCGUACGCUCCCAGGCCAUGGUGGGAGCGUGGCGUACGGCUCAGUAAAACAUGGUCAACCUACCCUCAAGACGGGGAUAACCCCGGGAAACUGGGGCUAAUCCCCGAUAGGUGAGAAUGCCUGGAAUUGGCCUCUCACCGAAAGGGUGUUGGAACCAUGCCUUCCAACGCCGCUUGAGGAUGGGGCCAUGUCCGAUCAGGUUGUUGGUGAGGUAACGGCUCACCAAGCCUAUAACCGGUACGGGCCGUGAGAGCGGGAGCCCGGAGAUGGACCCUGAGACAAGGGUCCAGGCCCUACGGGGCGCAGCAGGCGCGAAACCUCCGCAAUGCGGGAAACCGUGACGGGGUCACCCCGAGUGCCACCCGCUGAGGGUGGCUUUUCCCCGGUCUAACCAGCCGGGGGAAAUAAGGGGAGGGCAAGCCUGGUGUCAGCCGCCGCGGUAAUACCAGCUCCCCGAGUGGUGGGGACGAUUAUUGGGCCUAAAGCGUCCGUAGCCGGCCUGGCAAGUUUCCCGUUAAGUCCGACGGCUUACCCGUCGGACUGCGGGAAAUACUGCCAGGCUAGGGGGCGGGAGAGGCCGACGGCACUCCUGGGGUAGGGGUGAAAU